rnacentral:lncRNA from 1 species
GGGAGAGGUCACAUGGGGGAGGACACGCAGGGGAGAGGUCACAAGGGGGAGAGGCCGCAGGGGGAGAGGUCACAUGGGGGAGAGGCUACACAGGGGAGAGGCCGCACGCUGGGGAGAUGGUCCCUGCGGGAAGACUCCGAGGCAGUCUCCUGCAGCUCCUUCCGGCGAAUCCGGUUCAGGAAGUAAAACCAGCCCUGUGUAGAGGACUGCAACUGGCGUCUCCAUCUACUGGUACCGAGGCGAGGAGGAAAAAGCAGGGGGGCCCGGAGACGGCCCCUCUAAGUCUGUAACUCCAGAGCUGCUGCUCAGUCCCCAGAACGUCACCUCCGAGCAGAGCCUGUGACAACUGUC